ACUUGACACAGUUCAGAGGAAGGAUCAAAGGCUCUGAUAAGGAUGCGCAUGGUCAACAAACCAGUAAGAAUUGCUCUGAGUUCACUGCUCUUCUCAGGAGUUAAAAGAUGUUAUGUUGAGCACCCUGAAAUAAAAAUGGAAACACUUGGGUAACUGGGCAGUAGGAGCUGAGCAACUGAUAUACUUGGACACAGACAGGCUUUGCUUCAGUGCUUACGGCGACUGCCUGGAGCAGCAGUACUGGAAACUACUCCGUAUGACCAGAAAGAAAGAAGUCAAGUGUCCAGAAGCAAGGAUUUAUGCAUCUCAUUUAACCCAUGUGAUUUUGCCUCUUUGAUGAGGCCAUUUAUGUCAGCAGCAGAGGCCUCACUAAUGGAUUACGAAGGGAUAUAAAAAAAAGCCAAUUCUAUGGAGUCUUGUAAGGCCAAAAAAUUCUUCCAAGUGCUGAAUACCAGGACACCUUCAUAACCACAGAGUUCCUUCCCCAGCACUGUACAACACAAAGCAGAGAAAGCAACAUUGGAAGAGUGCUGGUCAGAAAGGGAGGUCCACUGCUGUUUUGAACAGCACUUAUGAACUGUUUACAUUGCCACAUCUGGAACACACCUUUGUAAAUAACAUUGGUCUACAGAUGACAAGUUUCCUACCGAAGCCUCAUUGCUCCUGGGAUUUGCCAGCACCAAGUUACAGUUCUGUCUGCUCAUACAGUCUACACCAAUUGCAUAGAUUUGUUAACUACCAGCUAUCAAAAGUUCAAUAUGAUGAGUCACAUAUUGUUUCUGGCUGUUAGAUAUGGUUAU